AUUUAUAAGAAUACGAGUAGCUUUUAAUCGAGAAAUAUAUAAAUACUAUUUCUUUUGUUUAAUAGAUUCAUUGACUAAUAAUCAAUAGUAACCUGAACUCUUUUUUUAGUAUUCUUUUCUUAUUAAGAAUUCUUUUGGGGUACUAGAAAAAUGAGAAAGUAGAUUGGGAAAACAAGAGAAUAAAAAAGAACUACCACUCUAGAAAAAUUCUUAAAACAUUUUAUCUUUUUAGAUUUCUUGAUAGAUGUAUACUAUAUAAAACGAAAGAAUUCACAUGAAAAUUUUAUUUGAAUAAUUUGUAUUCGUAUUGUAUGCUUACGUUGUAAACUGUAUCAAUUUGUAUAUCAAAUAUUCAAAUCAAGUAAAGAAUUCAAGUAAAAAAUCUUUGGGAAAGUUCAAAUAUCAGGAACACCCUUUUUAUUUUUCUAUAAUAUAUUGGACGGAAUAACUACCUAAUU
rnacentral:lncRNA from 1 species